ACUAGCAGUAGUUGAUAAGGUGUUA
rnacentral:piRNA from 2 species